rnacentral:rRNA from 1 species
AUACGGAGGAUCCGAGCGUUAUCCGGAUUUAUUGGGUUUAAAGGGUGCGCAGGCGGCCAUUUAAGUCAGCGGUUAAAUCGUGGGGCUCAACCCCAUUCUGCCGUUGAUACUGGGUGGCUUGAUUGCGGGCGAGGUUGGCGGAAUUCGUUGUGUAGCGGGGAAAUGCAUAGAUAUGACGAAGAACACCGAUUGCGUAGGCAGCUGACCAGACCGCAAAUGACGCUCAUGCACGAAAGUGCGGGGAUCGAACAGGAUUAGAUACCCUGGUAGUCCGCACAGUAAACGAUGAAUACUUGUUUUCGGCGAUAUAAUGUCGGAGGCAAAGCGAAAGCGAUAAGUAUUCCACCUGGGGAGUACGCCGGCAACGGUGAAACUCAAAUGAAUUGACGGG